AUAGUCACCAUCUCACCAUUGUGAGGGGCCUUGGCACCGAAGCAGGAGGAUGACAGUUCUUGCAGCCAGUGCAGAGUGAGGUGCUUGGAGCUGGCCAUGCUGCAGAAGGAUGGCCUCCCUCCACCUGCUGGCAGUAGAGCUGCCCCUUGGCCAGGUUAUAGCCCUGGAGCCACCCUUAGGCAUCUCUGCUUUUUCACCCUGAUCCUGUUUCUAGCUUCUCCAUGAAGAAGAGGCAAAGGCUUACAGAGAGGCCACUGGAAGCAGAGAUGCCACUGUUCAGGGGCUGUCCCUGCAGCAGAAACACACGCAGUGGGAGUGUGAGUGGGUCCUGGUGCUGCUGUGUGCUGCCGUGCUGCAGGAUGAGAGGAGGGCUCCACUUGGAUUCAGCCCCACCAGAACCAGAUUUCAGAGAAGAGACCAUCUGAUUUUCUGCGUGGCCCAGUUUUAGACAAAUGGAGGUAGAUGCUGCAGAGGGGGACAGACUUAAAUUCUCUACUUGCUUGUUGUGAGCAGCAUACAAAAGGAGCUCAUUGCCGUCUAAUUGCUCACAACGUGGUUGGGGAGGAGGAAUGAAGUGCACCACUUUGGCAUGAAUAAAUAAUGUUGGAAGGUUACUAGCUUUAUUGGAACCUGUACACCUACUUUGAGAGACCAUCAUUGAUGUUUAAUAUAAGCUUGAAAAAUGAUCAUCAUUUUGGUGCUGUGGUGCACUGUUCUGUAAUUUCUGCUCGUAAAGAGACCACAGAUCUCAACAAAUGACAAUUUCUUUAUGGGCAAAUUCUAUAAUAUAUUUUAUUUUAAUGUUGUGGUAUGUCUAGUGUCUUCUGGAAGGGAAUGAAGAAUUGACCACGAUUUCUUCUCCCUAAAGAUAUUCUUCAUUUUGAGGUAGAAUCAGAGAAAAACAUAAUUAUCUUGUUAAAAUCGUGUGACAGGAAUUAAAAGGCAAAUGGUUAUCAGAGUAUUACAAAUCUUCAAUUUACUCUAUCUGUACAUGACAUUUAUCAUAACUGACAGCAUAAAGUCUGUGAUUUCAAGAUAAGAACAUAACUAAACUGGUUUUGUCUGUUUUCAAAUUGUUUUAUUUACAUCAUUGAAUAGUGUUUACAUUUUAGACAGCCAAUUUGUUGUUUUAAAAAACAUGAUCUUAGAAGAAAAAAUGGUCUUCUGUGCUUCUCCUGUCUGUAAUAUUUCAUUUGAAAAUGGCAGUGUAAUUUGAAAUGUAUAUUUUGUAAUUAUAGUUUUUGAUCAAAGGAUUGUGGAGCUUGCAAAACAGAUGAAUUCCUAGAUUAAACUGUUCUGUAGUUAGUUGAUAAAUAUGAUUUAAAAUGUUGCUAAUGUAAAUUGUUCGUUCAGUUUGAACUAUUAAAUAAGAUUAGAUUA